rnacentral:rRNA from 1 species
GUCUAUGGCCAUGCUACCCCGAACAAGCCCAAUCCCGCCUGAUCUUGGAAGCUAAGCAGGGGUGGGCCUGGUUAGUACUUGAAUGGGAGACUACCUAGGAAGACCAGGUGCUGUAGGUG